UACCCAGCAAGGUACUGAUCGCUUA
rnacentral:miRNA from 1 species